AACAUUAAAUAAAAUGUUGCUGGACAGACCUAGACGUGCAAUUUUUCUAAUGUACUGUUUCAUCUUAGAAAGUAGAGCUUAAUACAAUUGAUGUAAGAUAAAUUAAUAAUUUGUAUUUAUUUAAUAAUACGUCAAUUAACAUCAAAACUUUAAAGAUUUUUAACUUUUAAUUUCGAUAAAAGAAGUUCUAUACUAUUAAAUUAUUAUGAUGCAUUAUACUGAUUAUACUGAUUGUGCCAAUAACUAUUAUAUAAAUAACCAUGCAUGAAGUAUUUAAAUAUAGAACCAAUUCCAUCUUUACCACGUUAACUUAUGACAUCAUAAAGAAUGUAAAAUAUUCUACUAUUUUUUAAAACUAUUUAAACUUGUUAAAUAGACACGCUAGAGCCUAGUUUCACUGGUUCGUUCACAAUCAAACAUUUUAAAAACUUUUUUAAUACUUCUUAAUAAAUACGGCCUUCUGUUUUUCAGUAAAUCAAGUUUUGUGUAUCCGUAUUUGAAGUAGAAGUAUCAAAGUUUGAGAAGAUGGAAAUAAAGCUCAUCAAAUUAAGCAUCUAAGUUUAAAUUAGUUCAAAAAUUGUAAAGCUUUUUUUUCAUUGUAAAUAUUUUGUACAAACUAUCUCAUUACUUUAUCUUUUAGUUAUCUUUAUUACUUAGAUGUACUUUAUUAGUUAGAUGUACUUUAAUUAUAUUUAUUGCAAUAUUCUUUUCAAAACUAAAAAGAGAGAAAUACUUAUAAAAGUCGUUUAUAUGUACGACUUUUUAUAAUGUAAAUUAAAAAAUAUAUAAAAUCUUAUAUUUUUAUUCUAAAAAAAAUUGGUUCUAAAUUAAUAGAAAAUUUGUGGCUUCAAAUUUUGGUUUAAUAUUACAACUUACUCUAUACAACAGAUAUAAUUUACGUAACAUUUAUAUUAUUACUAUUAUCGUCAUAUUUUUCACUUAAAAAUGUUAUUUUGGUGCUUCAUGGUAAAACGACAACCCUCUCGCAGUCAAUAUCGGUGGAAUGAAAUAGCAUUCACGUCAUAACAUACACAAAAUGCAGGGCAGAUUGCAUACUGUAUAUGCAAACGAAUAUUUGCAGCGCAUAUCUGGCAUGCAUGAAGAAGAAAUAACUGUUACAGAAACUAAAAUGUCUGUAAAAAUAUAUAAACCUAUCAAUUAAAGCGCCAUAUAAUCAUAGAAAUUUUAUUUCUCAUUGUAUGUUUUUCGUUAUAUCGUAUGAGCGCAUUUUAUACAGUAAAAUAUAAACAUCACCUCUGACUUUUGACCAACAAAAAACAUUAUUAACGUAAUUAUAAGCAAUUCUAUAAAAAUUACGUAUAUUAUUAAAAAAAAGACUUUUGCAGGGUACAUUAACUGGUAUAAUAAAAUAUACAUAAAUAAUUUCGCUUUGAUAGAAUAUGGGCAAACGGCAGUGCCAUUCGUUUCCCUAACAUGCUUUAAUGUUUUGUCAUUCAAUAUUUGAAAUCCGUUAGCGCGACGAUUCCAAAAGAAAACGUAUAGCAUCUACGUACCUUUCCUAUCGCGAUACGAAAAUGUAAAGGACAUUUACUUUUUGUAGAUGUUAUUUUGUAGAGCAAUUAUACUUCACAUUUUACGUUCGGAAAAACUAUACUUUUAAUAUAAAAAUGUUUAUAUGUAAUACUUUGCCACUAUGUUAUAUUUCUGUUGUGGAAAUUAAUUUGAUAAAAUAAGUAAAAAGAAACAUAAUAUAUUGUAGAUUAAAGAAGUAUGUGUGGUGUGGAACAAUUAAACUAAAUUAUCACGUACGCGAAAUAUAACCCAGGUAAUGUCAUUAAUCAUUCGGCGGUAGGAAUUAUAACAGCCAUCUAUUUUACGCUUAAUAAAUAUGCAAUGGAAUACGUAUAUAUCCAUGCAAAAUACAUACGAUCGCCAAGCUGCUAAUGCAGAGACGUACAUUGAAGCAUAAACAUAAAAUAGAACCACGGGUGAUAUCUAGUAUUUAAUAGAUAGCAAUCUUUUAUUACAAAAUAGAAAAUUUUUCCAUCUAAGAAGCGCCUUUAAUCUGUAACCUUAUUGCGAUUCGUAUACCGUUACAUACCCAAGAUUCCUUUCAUUACCCAGUAAUCAAACUAUUCGCGCUAUUAAACUCGUCAUUUUUCCAUAUCAACUUGAUGAGAAAUGAGAAUUACUGUGUACAAACGAGAACAAUAAUUCACAUUUUACCUAGCAGGCAUAAAAUGUCAAUCAACCAUUAUCAUUGCAUAACAAUAUCGAUGCACGGAUGCACGUAAAGCCGUAUGAUAAAUCAAACAUGAUAAAUUUCAAUAUUAUUUUGAAAACGGCUCGGCGCUACGUGCUCUGGUUUGGAAUGACCCCUCUUUAUCUCGCUUAUUAAUGUAAAAGAUAUUAUUUUCCACUAACUAACGUCGUUUGCUGCAACAAAGUUUGGUAAUCUACUUUUCAUUACCGCGCGCACGCGCGCUUGUAUAAAAAGCUAUAUGAAAGUGUCUCUUUGUCAUUUUAAAUUAAAAGGCGUCCAAUAAUUUCCCUCAUUUUUUUCAAUAAGAAUCUUGCGUGAGUUCACUGAAUUCUCCCCUCACGAGACCCUUUUGCGAAAGAAAUUUUUUUGCGUUUCCAUACUUGUUAAUAGAAUGUUAGAAUAGAAUUUAUCAUGACAGGAAGAGGGAAGUCUGCAUGCGCGCGGUCGAUUACGUGCCGUCGCAUCGACAGAAAAAGAAAUGAGAACAGAGGAGUCCAAUCCAUGCUACACGAUAUUUCGAACUAUACACGUACAUGUGUGUACGUGUCGUGAGAGAAAGAAAGAAUAGUCGCUGCAAAAUCAACGUUUUCGGAGUGAGUUAAAAAAAAAAAGCUGUUAAAAGCUUUAUCCAAGCUGAACUAAAGCACAGCUAACAGCUUUAUUCAAUCCGAAUUAAACAAAAUAUUGGACAAAAAUGGAAACGCACACACAGGUGUCCUUAUACAUUUUUUAAUUUAUAUAAAAACAUAAAUAAUUAUUUUUCCCUUUUUAUUAUAAAAUAUCUUUUGAAUUAGUUUAAUUAUAUUGUUUCGGUA
rnacentral:lncRNA from 1 species